GACAACUUAUUUUCAUAGUAAAACAGGUUGGGCCCCAUACAGGAUAUCUCUCACACACACACUCACUUAAAUCAUCCAGAACACUGUCACAACAGGAUACUCCUAGCCACAGGUGCUAGCCGGCAGUUCGGCCACAACUCCCCUGAAGAUAGGGACGCACACACAUUACACACGGACUCUUGAGGACAGGACAGGGACGCAUACGCUCUUACACACUGACCCCAGAAGACAGGGACGACGCACAUACAGUACACACAUAGCUGCCGAGGACACCCAGAUAAGACACCCACAGAUUGGCAGAAAGCCUAGACUUAGAGACAAACUAGCACACACACAUAAUCUCCCUUCCUAGCCGAACAUUGUGUGACUGAGAACAGCCCGACGAGACCCGGAGGAACGACGGACGGCUCAACAGGACCAAUCCAAGAAGACAACACCUCAACUGUGGCCAACCAAAAGACCGUGACUUCCAGACUCAACCUACUUUCUGUACUGUACAUAACAUGCUUGCAAUCUGUUAUCGGGGCUUCUUUCUGCUGGUUACUUGUGAGCCAAAUGAAUGAGCCCGUAUACGUUGUACCAGAUAUCUUUACUCUGAAUAAACUGUCGCUUGUCAUAUAAUUGACCACCUUGUCCGAAUCGAUCCUUGACCGACUCGCCCUAUCUACAUAUCCCAUUAUCAACAAAAAUGGUAGCAGAGGAUGGUUAACUAACGACCCAGUCCAGAGUGGUUGAUGUGGGUGUGGGGGGCGAGUUGGUGAAGGGACGGUUCCCGGAGGACAGGUGAAGACAUUCGGGGGGAGGACAACAAUUCUGCUCAACUCGGGAAACUGAUCACAAGGGUCGACCUUAAACAAGGUAAGCAAAACCUGUUAAAUCAAACUUUGCAUAUUGUCGUAUAGUCUAUCCAAAUUUUGAUCAGUAUGACCGAGUGAGUAUGAAUUCUUGACUAAAUUUAUAUACACGAAUGACAAGUUAACGAUAGUGAAGUAAAAAUAUGUGGUAUUAAAUCUAUCCAUUAAACCCGGUAGCGGCCGGUCUGUCUAUAAUACAGUAGGGGAUAGAUUUUAUUUUUUUCCACGGAAGAGUUGUGUACCCGUGUCGAAUAAUUAGAGAAUACGGAAGAGCUGUGUGCCCUGUAUUAAAAAAAAAAUACAUUUCCACGGUGGAGCUGUGUGCCCCGUGUGUCCUGUUGACGCGUUGUGUACGGUCAAGGAGGUAAAUUAAAUCAUUUUAUUCCACGGAGGAGCUGUGUGUCCCGUGUGUAAACAUUAAUAGGUAACCAGUUUUGUAUUACUGCCGCGUGCCCUGUUUUGGGUUUUAGAUAUGUUUGAUAUAUUUACUAAAACAUACAAUACAUGACAAAUGGUGACCCCGACGUGAUCUGGUAAAAAGACAUCGCUGGACAUUGGUGUGCCAGCCGAUUGGCCAGUACUGUCAUCGGACGGUGUGUCUCACAAAUCCUGACCGGUCAACUAAAAAGGGUAAGCAGACACCUGUUGUGAAAAACUAAAGUUCUGCACAUUGGAGUUAUACAAAUUUAGUAUGAGGUUAAGAAAACCCUGAGAAGAAAGAACUGCAUUAUUUGUAGUCAUGCUAGACCUGUUCUGGCUACACACCCAUUUGCUGUAGGAGAAGGAGAGGGGUGGUUGUGUAUUCUGAGAAGUUUUUACCAGGUUAAGCCCAAUUCAACCCUCUGUUCCUCUUUGAGCCUUGUGUUUCCUGCAGUACCUCCUCAUCGGGCCUCUUGGGGUCUUGAGGCAUAUGGGGGCAAUUACAGUUGCAUCACGGGUACAGGUAAUGGCAUUGAUUAUGGGAGAUUGCCUGAAGCUGAUUGCAGUAGUAACAUAACCAUUAAUUACACUUGUGGAUGUGUGGAGCCAAAAGAGUGCUGAGACCCAUUCUUAGAGGAGAAUGGCAAGGUACGUGUGGUCUGACCAGUUUGAUAAUUCCACUGACCAUUGUUGAUGUUACUGCUGAACAGCUGUUGGGUUCUGUAUCCAGGGGACCUGAAAACAUUCCAUCCCAUGGGAGACAUAGACGUAGUGCUCCAUGGACAGAGGAUGUAGUUGACAUCAUGAGUUUCAGGCCUUGGGUAGGAAUGAUGGACUCUGGCACUUACUAACUAUUAUGGGUCCAGCCAUGGUGGAUGCUAGACAGACUGCUUGGAUUAAUUAUAUCUACUAUAAUCAACAGCGUUUGGUGAAUUACUCCCGUGAUGCACUCACUGGUAUGUCUGAACAGCUUGAGGCCACAUUUGGGGUUUCCAGACAGAAUAGACUUGCCUUGGAUAUGCUUCUUGCCAGUCAGGGGGACGUCUGCAAGAUGUUCGGUAAACAAUGUUGCACGUAUAUUCCUAAUAAUACCAGUCCAGAUGGUGGUAUAUCUAAGGCGGGCUUGAUGCACUAUCUGCUAAGAUGAGGUCCACAGAGGGGGUGGAGGAGUCUGUUCUCUUGGCCUGGUUUGGUAAGUACACUGGUAUGAUGGUUACUGGAUUUCUGACCCUAAUUCUUGUAUUAUUUGUUAUUGAUGUGAUGUGCUGCUUGCAUCAUACUGUGUUUUAAGAAGUCUGUUACAGAUGUGAUGAAGGCUUCAGGGAGGAUGGGACUGACUGAGGAUGACACAUGGUAUGCUGGGUGAGGUAGUAGAAUGAUUUUACACCACCACAGUUCCUUGUUAUACAUUUUUAUGAUAGGUUUUCUUUCCAGUAUGUUUGUUCUCCCUGUUGUGAAGGUUUGGAGUCCCUGGGUGGCAAGGAGCCCACCUGGUACAGGAUAGGAGUAGCUGAGAGGGCCAGAUGGUUUCUAAUAAUUCUUUACUCUGUUUUCCAUGAAUAAAGUUUUAUCCUACAUCUUACAUGUCAAUAACAAUAAAGUUUUAUCCUGUUUUUGAUAAGUGACACCCUUGUGGGUGACAAAAGGGGGAAACAAAAGCAUACAACAAAGGCAUAUAUCACUUGUUAUUAAUAAUAAACUUUUUAUUAUUUUCAUGAAAUGCUAUGACUGCUGAAAUAAAGGAUAAUGAGUGACACCCUAGGGGGACUUAAAUUUCACACAAUUUUCUUUUGUUCUGUUUAUGAAUGAGCUGUUCUCUUUUGACAUGAAGGUAGUUUAAACUUUGUAACUGUUAUAUGAUUCAUUGUUGAAUUUGUGUUCACACCCUUGGGGUUAUUUUACAUUAUAGCCAUUACCAUAUAUAAGAUUGAAUAUUAUCUGCUGUUGCCUUGUGUGGAUGUAUGUAUGUGUUAUGCUACCUAGCUGAUUUGAAACAUUGUUAAAAGUAUCAGGGCCAUGGGACUUUCUCAUGAUGGAAAAAUACAGAGUAGCAUGAAGACUAACUGUUCAAAUGAGUUAGAAGGGAGGGAACAUUCAGAGCGGGGUGUUGCGAGAACAAGCGGUCUUUUGUUAGAUAACAGGAGCCAGGUGGGAGAUAACGGUAUGGAGCAUGAGACCCAUCUUUCAGUUUUUGCAGCCAUUUUAGUAGGGGGAUCCAGUUGCUUAUAUUGAUUAAGCUUCUCCAUUGUAUGUCGUGUCCCAUCUGGGAUGGGAAGAGGGGGCAUUGCGGUCUUUGUGGGCCAUUUCCGUAUAGACUUACUUAGUUUAGGCUAUUUUUCCUUUUUGGAUUAUAUUUUCGUUUUUGUUUGGAGUAAUGUACCUGGACUAUAUCACAUCUCUUAGGAGAUGUGAAGAGAGGGAAUCACAACUUUUUCCUGCUGGAAAAAGUUGGCUUAUGUGGACAAUCAUUUUAUUUUUAUUUUGAGCUGUUCUCCGCUCUGUUAAAUGAGGGUUGUAAGUUCCUAGGUGGCUGGUAGCCAACUUAGUACAUAGUGGGAUUGAAUGGAGAACAUGAUGGUAAUACAUAUAUCUAUUUCUGUUUAAUACCGUGCCUUAUUUCAUAGCCCCUUUGGGAAAAGUUUUCUUUUGUAUCAGAAUCUAGUUAGGUUGUGUCACGUCUCUGGGGAGACGUGAAGAGAGGGAUUUGUAGAGGACUGCUAAUUCUUAUGUAGGUGACAUUACACUACUAUAGCUGGGACAACGUAUUUUCAUAGUAAAACAGGUUGGGCCCCAUACAGGAUAUCUCGCACACACACACUCACUUAGAUCAUCCAGAACACUGACACAACAGGAUACUCCUAGCCACAGGUGCUAGCCGGUAGUUCGGCCACAACUCCACUGAAGAUGGGGACGCACACACAUUACACACGGACUCUUGAGGACAGGACAGGGACGCAUACGCUCUUACACACUGACCCCAGAAGACAGGGACGACGCACAUACAGUACACACAUAGCUGCCGAGGACACCCAGAUAAGACACCCACAGAUUGGCAGAAAGCCUAGACUUAGAGACAAACUAGCACACACACAUAUUCUCCCUCCCAGCCGAACAUUGUGUGACUGAAGAUAGCGCACACACCAGAUCUCCUUUUCAGCUGAACAUGGUGUGACGACCAAGAACAGGCAUGGCAGGAUUCUACGAUGACGGACAGACAACAGAGCCAAUGCCGGAUGACUACACCCCAGCCUGAUCCAAUCCGAAGAUCCGAUCUCCUAGAAAUCAACCUACUUUCUGUUGUGUAUAUGAAGCUUGUACUCACUGUUAGCAAGGUUCCUUUCUGCUAGUCUCUGAUGAGCUAACAGAGGGGCCCGUAUAUACGCUGUACCAGAUAUCUUUACUCUGAAUAAACCUGUCGCUUGUCGUACAAUCUAC